UCUGGUUGAUCCUGCCAGUCAUAUGCUUGUCUCAAAGAUUAAGCCAUGCAUGUCUGAGUACAAGCCGAACUAAGGUGAAACCGCGAAUCGCUCAUUAAAUCAGUCAUGAUCCACUGGAUCUUGUAAAAACCCACUCCUUGGAUAACUGUGGUAAUUCUAGAGCUAAUACAUGCAAACUGAGCUCCGACCCUGACUUCGUCGAAGCACGAGGCGGGGGAAGGGCGCAUUUAUUAGAUCACAAAACCGGUCGGACUUCGGUCCGUAAUCCCAAAACGAAUUUUUGUGAUGACUCUGAAUAAACCAGCCGAGCGCUACGGUCUUCGUACCGGCGCCGUAUCCUUAGAGUGUCUGCCUUAUCAGCUGUCGAUUGUAGGUUAUUCGCCUACAAUGGCUGUAACGGGUAACGGGGAAUCAGGGUUCGAUUCCGGAGAGGGAGCCUGAGAAACGGCUACCACAUCUAAGGAAGGCAGCAGGCACGCAAAUUACCCACUCCCGGCUCGGGGAGGUAGUGACGAAAAAUAACGAUGUGGGACUCUUCCGAGGCCUCACAAUCGGAAUGAGCUCACUUUAAAUCCUUGGACGAGGAUCCAUCGGAGGGCAAGUCUGGUGCCAGCAGCCGCGGUAAUUCCAGCUCCAAUAGCGUAUAUUAAAGUUGCUGCGGUUAAAAAGCUCGUAGUUGAGUUUCAAGUUCGGCCCGGAAGUCCAUCUUAGGCUCGUCUUUUGGUACCCCGCUACGCGCGGGGCGGAUUACCGUUGUCGUCCUAUCCCCUAGAAAACUUGUAAGACCGUGUGUCCUUUUUCACGGGUCUGUCGCGCUCAUUUCGAGCUCGUUCGCUUAAAAAUAAAAGCCUCACCACGAAAUCUCUUUCCCCGGUCGCGCGGGAUGCGGCCCAUUCUCUUCCGCCUCACUUCCCUCAACGAAGAGAGUCCACGGCAGAGAGUGAGGAGUAGCAGGUAGGAGUAGUAAUACUUCGACCUCGACCUUCUCGGGCGUCGGGAAUGGAGAGGUAGUGGUUCCAAGGGCGUAAUAAAAUAAGCGUUCGGGGUAGAACCUCGAGUGAGUACAAAAAAAAAUUUUUUUAAAUUUUUUUUUGGGGCGGCCGUCUCGUAAAAGGAUUUAAAAAAACGCGGCUGAAAUGUUUUACGGGCGGGGGCGUCGGUCUUCCGUUCUCCAGCGGGUAAAAAAAAAAGCGAGCCCGGGUGGUUCUCUAUCCGACGCCGAAUUACUUGAAAAAUCCGCCGGCCUUCACGGGGUGCUCUUCACCGAGUGUCCGCGCGAAGCCGACAAAUUCACUUUGAAAAAAUUAGAGUGCUCAAAGCAGGCAAAAAAUCUAAAACAUGCCUGAAUGGUAACGCAUGGAAUGAUGGAACAGGACCUCGGUUCUGUCAUUUUUUAAUCGGUUUUUCUGAACCCGAGGUAAUGAUUAAAGGGGACUGACGGGGGCAUUAGUAUUGCGGCGCUAGAGGUGAAAUUCUUGGACCGUCGCAAGACUAACUACUGCGAAAGCAUUUGCCAAGAAUGUUUUCAUUAAUCAAGAACGAAAGUUAGAGGAUCGAAGGCGAUCAGAUACCGCCCUAGUUCUAACCCUAAACGAUGCUAACUGGCGAUCCGCUUGAGUCAUACCCACGACUGAGCGGGAAUCCCCCGGGAAACCAAAGUUUUUGAGUUCCGGGGGAAGUAUGGUUGCAAAAUCGAAACUUAAAGGAAUUGACGGAAGGGCACCACCAGGAGUGGAGCCUGCGGCUUAAUUUGACUCAACACGGGGAACCUCACCAGGCCCGGACACCGGAAGGAUUGACAGAUUGAGAGCUCUUUCUCGAUUCGGUGGUUGGUGGUGCAUGGCCGUUCUUAGUUGGUGGAGCGAUCUGUCUGGUUGAUUCCGAUAACGAACGAGACUCUAUCCUACUAACUAGUCGGCGGAUCGUCUCCCGAGACGGGUAAAUCUACCAUUAGUUCGGGGUGCGUCCGGCAUGCGCUCCUCCCGAAGCGUUCCGACGAUCGGGUUCGGGAGGGGAGAAAAAUAGAGCGUACGGACGUGCGUGGGGUGAGGCUCGCUCCGUUCCGCGUCGAGGGUUUUCUCUCGUUUCGCGAUAGUUCGGAGAGGAACGAGUUUCUUCUCCAUCGCGUUCGCGCGUUACCUCUCGCGGCCCGCGAUCGGCGUUACGGGGGAUGCCUUCGCACUCCCGGGCGGGUGCUACCCAGCGAGGGGCGUCCGUCGCAACUUCUUCUUAGCGGGAUCGGCGGCGUCUAGCCGCACGAGAUGGAGCAAUAACAGGUCUGUGAUGCCCUUAGAUGUUCUGGGCCGCACGCGCGCUACAAUGCAGGGAUCAGCGUGCUAUCCCCCUCCGAAAGGAGCGGGUAACCCGAUGAAACCCCUUCCCGAUUGGGAUUGGGGAUUGUAAGUGUUUCCCAUGAACGAGGAAUUCCCAGUAAGCGCGAGUCAUCCAGCUCGCGUUGAUUACGUCCCUGCCCUUUGUACACACCGCCCGUCGCUACUACCGAUUGAGUGAUUCAGUGAGGGCAUCGGACUGGCGCCCUCGGUAACCUACGGUUCGCGUUCCCGCUAGCGCGUCGUCCCCUUUUUGGCGGAACGAUCGUGUCUAGCGCGCGUCCGUAUGGCAAUACCCCGGGCUGACGGAAAGAU
rnacentral:rRNA from 1 species